UUGGGAAUCUUGGACAAUGGGGGAAACCCUGAUCCAGCCAUGCCGCGUGAGUGAUGAAGGCCUUCGGGUUGUAAAACUCUUUCGACGGGGACGAUAAUGACGGUACCCGUAGAAGAAGCUCCGGCUAACUUCGUGCCAGCAGCCGCGGUAAUACGAAGGGGGCUAGCGUUGUUCGGAAUUACUGGGCGUAAAGCGCGCGCAGGCGGCUAUCCAAGUCAGUGGUGAAAGCCCGGAGCUCAACUCCGGAACUGCCAUUGAAACUGUUUAGCUUGAGGACGAGAGAGGUGAGUGGAAUUCCCAGUGUAGAGGUGAAAUUCGUAGAUAUUGGGAAGAACACCGGUGGCGAAGGCGGCUCACUGGCUCGUAUCUGACGCUCAGGCGCGACAGCGUGGGGAUCAAACAG
rnacentral:rRNA from 1 species